GGAGCUGUGGCUCAGUGGUAGAGCAUCUGCCUUGCAUGCAGAACAUCACUGGUUCAAUCCCCUUCAUCUCCA